CCUACGGGAGGCAGCAGUGAGGAAUAUUGGUCAAUGGACGAGAGUCUGAACCAGCCAAGUAGCGUGAAGGAUGAAUGCCCUAUGGGUUGUAAACUUCUUUUAUAAAGGAAUAAAACGAGGCACGUGUGCCUUUUUGUAUGUACUUUAUGAAUAAGGAUCGGCUAACUCCGUGCCAGCAGCCGCGGUAAUACGGAGGAUCCGAGCGUUAUCCGGAUUUAUUGGGUUUAAAGGGAGCGUAGAUGGGUUGUUAAGUCAGUUGUGAAAGUUUGCGGCUCAACCGUAAAAUUGCAAUUGAUACUGGCAGUCUUGAGUACAGUUGAGGUAGGCGGAAUUCGUGGUGUAGCGGUGAAAUGCUUAGAUAUCACGAAGAACCCCGAUUGCGAAGGCAGCUUACUAAGCUGUGACUGACAUUGAUGCUCGAAAGUGUGGGUAUCAAACAGGAUUAGAUACCCCGGUAGUC
rnacentral:rRNA from 1 species